UACGAAGGGGGCUAGCGUUGUUCGGAAUUACUGGGCGUAAAGGGCGCGUAGGCGGUGUGUCAAGUCAGGCGUGAAAGCCCCGGGCUCAACCUGGGAACCGCGCUUGAGACUGGCACGCUCGAGUUCGGGAGAGGAUGGUGGAAUUCCCAGUGUAGAGGUGAAAUUCGUAGAUAUUCGGAAGAACACCAGUGGCGAAGGCGACUCACUGGACAUGUAUUGACGCUGAGGUGCGAAAGCGUGGGGAGCAAACAGG
rnacentral:rRNA from 1 species